rnacentral:rRNA from 1 species
CAGCAGCCACGGUAAUACGUAGGGUGCAAGCGUUAUCCGGAAUUAUUGGGCGUAAAGAGCUCGUAGGCGGUUUGUCGCGUCUGCUGUGAAAACUGGAGGCUCAACCUCCAGCCUGCAGUGGGUACGGGCAGACUAGAGUGCGGUAGGGGAGAUUGGAAUUCCUGGUGUAGCGGUGGAAUGCGCAGAUAUCAGGAGGAACACCGAUGGCGAAGGCAGAUCUCUGGGCCGUAACUGACGCUGAGGAGCGAAAGCAUGGGGAGCGAACAGGAUUAGAUACCCCAGUAGUCCCUGUCUCUUAUAC